AAAGCAUCUAAGUGUGAAGCCCCCCUCGAGAUGAGAUUUCCCAUUCCUAUAUGGAAGUAAGACCCCUGAGAGAUGAUCAGGUAGAUAGGCUGGAAGUGGAAGUGCAGCGAUGCAUGGAGCGGACCAGUACUAAUCGGUCGAGGACUUAACCAA
rnacentral:rRNA from 1 species